rnacentral:rRNA from 1 species
UUGGAGGGCAAGUCUGGUGCCAGCAGCCGCGGUGAUUCCAGCUCCAAUAGCGUAUAUUAAAGUUGUUGCAGUUAAAAAGCUCGUAGUUGAAUUUCGGGACUAUCAUGUCGGUCGUGCCUCGGUACGUACUGGUAUUGUUGGUUUCUCCCUUCUGACGAACCAUGAUGUCAUUUAUUUGGUGUUGUGGGGAAUCAGGACAGUUACUUUGAAAAAAUUAGAGUGUUUAAAGCAGGCUAACGCCUGAAUACAUUAGCAUGGAAUAAUGAAAUAGGACGUUCGAUCCUAUUUUGUUGGUUUCUAGGAUUGACGUAAUGAUUAAUAGGGAUAGUUGGGGGCAUUAGUAUUCAAUUGUCAGAGGUGAAAUUCUUGGAUUUAUUGAGGACUAACUACUGCGAAAGCAUUUGCCAAGGAUGUUUUCAUUAAUCAAGAACGAAAGUUAGGGGAUCGAAGACGAUCAGAUACCGUCGUAGUCUUAACCAUAAACUAUGCCGACUAGGGAUCGGAUGAUGUUAAUUUUUUAAUGACUCAUUCGGCGCCUUACGGGAAAC